rnacentral:guide_RNA from 1 species
ACUCAUAACAAUUAGAUAGACGUCAGUUUUAUAUUGUAGUUAAUGAU